CAGGGGUUAGUUUAUUAAAAUAUCAGUUUUGGGGAUUGAAGUUAGGAGAAGAUUCCUACCCCUGA
rnacentral:tRNA from 1 species